CUCUCUUCAUCUCACCUACAGAUAGAAUUAUAAAACAUGUAGAUUCAGAUUUCUGAGCUAUCUUUCUCCCGUUUCAUGGCCUUUUGUUUUAACGAAAGAAAAAGAAAAGAAAGUUGCCAGCAUUCAGAAGAAAUCCCCAAUUGGAACUGCAUUCUGAUUUGGAGGUGGAAUUGGCUUUGAGAGACAGAUGGGAGGGUAGUGCCGUCAACUGAGAGCUGACAGCUCCUUGCAGCUCUGUGAUAAAGAUCCAGAUGCGAUCAGCACCUCUGAUGGUAUGGAAGAGGAUGAUACUGCUUUGGCCAUCGAAUGCCUUCACCCAUCCAGGUUUGCCAUGGACUUACUUACUUUUAAAACUCAAACUCCCACAACCUCAUUAGUCCUGAAUGAACAUCUGGCCAUUCUCUACUGCCGUAUUAAAGAGCUACAGUGAAAGAUCAUUAUGUGAAUCCUGGCCUGGGGAACAUGGAGUCUUCCACUUUCAUGAGAGCUCAAACAUUAAGGAUUCAGAUGGUCCAAAAUGAACUGAAGAACAGAGGCCCUUCCCAUAUUUUCUGGACUAUACAAGCCAGAUAUUCCUCAUCUUUUUCCACCUCCAAACAUGAUACAGAAUACAGUUCUUGCUUUCUGCUGAAAACCAAGAACCAGAUUUAAUCUGCUUUGAGAGAAGAGACCAUGCAACAUUUCUUAUUCUGAAGGAAGUAAGCAAAUUCCCGCCACAAAAGCCUAGUCCAAAGGCCCCCAGUUAAGUAAGGGUAGCGCUACUAUUUGAAUAUAAUGCCUCAAGUGCUUUUCUUUCUUUAAGGAGGUGCACUGGCCUCAAACACUGAAUGAAGAAGAAAAUAAUUUGUUCAGUCAAGUGGACUGAUGAAUGUGGACCACAAAAUAAGAAAGCUCCAAAUUCACCCAUGUUCCGAUGAUGGUGGUGACUUAGAACAUAGGUUAGGAGAGCUUGGGCCCUUGCUGCUACGCCUAGUCCUGGGAGACAGGCUAUUCUCAAUGAUUUGGGAUGGCCAGGACUGUCAUUUGGAAUCUCAAGUAAGAAAGGUGAAACUUUACACACCAAUCUCAAGUAAGAAAGAUGAAACUUUACACUUUCCCCGAGCCUAGUUUCAUGUCAGAAACUAUGAAAACUUGCUUAAGGCCAAUUUAGAUUUUUAAAAUGUUAUAGAAAGCCAUGGUAAUUCAUAUAAUAAGACAAGGCCUGUGAGGAACACAGCAAGAGCCAUGACAGCUGAAAAAAAUUAAUUGAAAAGAAAAGAACUACAGAGUUUUGUGUCUCAUCGUCUGGAGAUCCUGGUUUACUUUAUCUAGGCUGAAAAUCAGGCUUCAGUACUAAAAAUCUAGAGGAACCUGGAGGAAUAGCUCAGUGGUAGGGUGAUGUCUGAUGGUGUAUUGAAAUGAACAGUUAAUGAUUACAUUUUUUUAUGUUCUGAUAGAGUAUGUUUAUUAUGCACUCAGGCCUUGUGUUUGGCCUCUAGCACCCAAAACAAACAAACAAACAAACAAACAAAUUAAAAAAAACAAAUGAACAACAACAAGAAUAAAAGCACAGGAAAAAUCUGCCUGUAGUAUGACUAGAGAAGAACAUUUUGUAAGUGUUAUACAGCCCUGCUCCCUCUAAAGUCUUGUGGACAAUAAAGCAAUCUCUAUUCUGCAAAUUAAAAAAAAAAUACUCAUCUCUUUAAAAUAUACACCUGUUGAAGAGUCUUCUUUCUCUCUUAAAUUAUGUGAUAGAAGAAGCCUGAGAUUGAGAAAGAGUAUCUUCCAGCAAAUAGCUUUGUGUCUUAGAAAAGUCAUUUAAAGUGUCUAAAGGUUCAUUUCUUUAUUUGUAAAUUGAAUGAGUUUUUAAAAGUUGCAUGAUUCUGUUUUAGGGACUUAUGUUUUUUGAACUUCUGUCAGAGAUGGGAGUUGAACUGGAACAAAGAACUGGAAACCCAAAAUAUUAUAGGGCUAAGGAAGUUUUUUUUUCUCUUUACUUUCAUACAUUUCUACUUCUUGCUUCCAACUGAGAGAAUCAAUUCUAUGACCACAUGAAAAUCUCAUUAGGGCCAAUAUCUUAGGUUUAUAAAAGACAACCAAAAUUUUAGUUCCAUCUACUUGAGGCCUCCAGGCCAAACUGGAACUGAAUGUCCUAAUUUGUAUUGAAUUAUUUGCCAAGAAAAUAUGGAGUUCUUUUGAUGCAAACAGGAGUGUUCACACCAACAUGUUCUUAGUGGCAGUAAAACAAGCCAGUUCCAACUUGGCUUCUGUGUGCUUCCAGGAGCUCUGCCCUAAUGUUGAUGUAAGUGAGUCCAGCUUGCUCCCGUAGGAAGUUCAAGGUUCACCAUCAUUGGUUUUUAAUGUAUUGUAUCAAAGGCUAAGGCUGCCAGACAUAUGAUAUCCUGAACAAGGAUGGGAUCUGAGGAAAGGCUCCGUGUGGGUGGUAGGAUGUUUAAAGUGUUACAUGCAUGGUAUAAAGAGGAUGCUAAUCCUGGGGUUAUCAUCAGAGAGUCGAAC
ensembl:lincRNA